AAUCAUGUAGCUCAGUUCGUUAGAGCAUGGUGCUGAUAAUGCGAAGGUCGAAGGUUCGAUCCCCACAUUCCUGGAUUG